rnacentral:rRNA from 1 species
GAUGAACGCUGGCGGCGUGCCUAAUACAUGCGAGUCGAGCGAACAGACGAGGAGCUUGCUCCUCUGACGUUAGCGGCGGACGGGUGAGUAACACGUGGAUAACCUGCCUAUAAGACUGGGAUAACUUCGGGAAACCGGAGCUAAUACCGGAUAAUAUAUUGAACCGCAUGGUUCAAUAGUGAAAGACGGUUUUGCUGUCACUUAUAGAUGGAUCCGCGCCGCAUUAGCUAGUUGGUAAGGUAACGGCUUACCAAGGCGACGAUGCGUAGCCGACCUGAGAGGGUGAUCGGCCACACUGGAACUGAGACACGGUCCAGACUCCUACGGGAGGCAGCAGUAGGGAAUCUUCCGCAAUGGGCGAAAGCCUGACGGAGCAACGCCGCGUGAGUGAUGAAGGUCUUCGGAUCGUAAAACUCUGUUAUUAGGGAAGAACAAAUGUGUAAGUAACUAUGCACGUCUUGACGGUACCUAAUCAGAAAGCCACGGCUAACUACGUG